rnacentral:rRNA from 1 species
AAAAGACUUAGUCCUAACCUUGCCGUUAAUUCUUGCCAAACAUAUACAUGCAAGUAUCCGCGUUCCAGUGUAAAUGCCCAAGACCCCUUAGACAUUUUAGGCCAAAGGAGCGGGCAUCAGGCGCACCCCAAUGGUAGCCCAAGACGUCUUGCUUAGCCACACCCCCACGGGUAUUCAGCAGUAAUUAACAUUAAGCUAUAAGUGAAAACUUGACUUAGUUAUGGCAGCAUUUAAGGGCCGGUAAAUCUUGUGCCAGCCACCGCGGUCACACAAGAGGCCCAAAUUAACUGUAUGUACGGCGUAAAGCGUGGUAUCAUGUUAUCACAGCAACUAAGAUUAAAAUGUAACUGAGCUGUCAUAAGCUUAAGAUACACCUAAAGCCACCCUCAAAACGAUCUUAGCGCUCUCUGACCGAUUACACCCCACGAAAGCUAAGAAACAAACUGGGAUUAGAUACCCCACUAUGCUUAGCCCUAAAUCUUGGUACUUAUUCCACCAAAGUGCCCGCCCGAGAAUUACGAGCACAAACGCUUAAAACUCUAAGGACUUGGCGGUGCCCCAAACCCACCUAGAGGAGCCUGUUCUAUAAUCGAUAACCCACGAUAUACCCGACCACUCCUUGCCAAGACAGCCUACAUACCGCCGUCGCCAGCUCACCCCACUGAGGGCACAGCAGUGAGCAUAAUAGCCGCCCCCCGCUAGCAAGACAGGUCAAGGUAUAGCCUAUGGAGUGGAAGAAAUGGGCUACAUUUUCUAGAAUAGAAAAUUCCACGAAGGGGGGCAUGAAACUGCCCCCGGAAGGCGGAUUUAGUAGUAAAGCGGAAUAAUUAAGCCCCCUUUAAACCGGCCCUGGGGCACGUACAUACCGCCCGUCACCCUCCUCACAAGCCACAAACAGCUAUAGUUAAUAUGUAAAUCAGCUGAAGAUGAGGUAAGUCGUAACAAGGUAAGUGUACCGGAAGGUGUACUUAGCAUAUC